rnacentral:rRNA from 1 species
AUGGCUGAACCCAACUCGUACGAGGAGCAGCGCAGGAGGCAGGUGGAGGAGAACAAGCGGAAGCUGGAGGAGCUGCGCCUGCACCGCCUCUCCGCCGCCGUCCGCGACGCCGCCGUCAAGCCCAUGCCGAACAAGGAGCUGAAGCUGCGGUAUCUUCGCCCGCCGCCGGCCCCGACCCGGCGGUCCGGCCGCGUCGCCAGUCUCCCCAAGCAACCAGAUUACCGCGACAAGAAAUCCCCGAGGGGAUUACCACCUGAUCGUGUGUACGCGACCGACGAAGCUAGAGACGACGCCUUCACCAAGGCCAAAGAGCUCAAGAACCAGCUGUGCUCUGACCACCCCUCUUUCAUCAAGCCCAUGACCCGUAGUUAUGCCACGGGUUGCUUGCUGACCAUCCCGCGGCAAUUCAAGAAGACUUAUCUAUCAUGGUUUGAUGAGAUGAUCUUUCUGGUGGAUGAAGAGGAUGGGGAGUUUCCCGUGCGUUACCUUGCCAAACGUAAUGCCAUCGGCGCUGGGUGGGCCUUGUUCGCCAUCGCUCACAAGCUGGCUGAUGGUGAUUGCUUGGUGUUUCAGCUAGUUCAGAGGACAAAGUUCAAGAUGCAGGUCUACAUUAUUAGAGCAAGUUCCUACUACGAAAAGGACAAUUGUUGA